rnacentral:tRNA from 1 species
CGCGGAGUGGAGCAGUUGGUAGCUCGUCAGGCUCAUAACCUGGAGGUCGCGCGUUCGAAUCGAGCCUCCGCAA